ensembl:lncRNA
CAGAAACUGUGUUACCAAGCAAGAGACGCAGGAGGAGGACCACAAAACCCUCCUAGCUUCUCUGAUCAAGAAGUUUGAGGAUGACCGAGAGAGUAAACGUCUCGAAUGGAACCAGGAGAGGUCCGACCUCCUUAAGAUCUCAAAACAAUCCAUGGCAAGGGAGGAGGAGUACCAGGAGAACAACAUCUCCUUAAGCUCUCAUGUGGAAGCCCUUCAAUGUCAGAUCAACAAGCCAAAGAAAAAGUGGUACAAGCUAUUCUAAGGCCCGGCUACAGAUCAAGACCAAUGACCCCCACACACAGACACCAAAACGCAUUGCUGUGAGGUCAGUCAACUCCUAAAGUGCACUAAAACGCACAAAAAAAAAAGAAGAAAAUACAUAAACACACACACAAACACACACACAUAGACAACAAAUACAUAAACACACACAACAAAUACAUAAACACACACAGACAAUAAAUACAUAAACACACAGACACAGACAAUAAAUACAUAAACACACACACACACAGACAACAAAUACAUAAACACACACACACAGACAACAAAUACAUAAACAC